UUUUGCAACGUGCGACCAAGGCAAGUAAUCAAAGAAUACGCACCAGACACAUACUGAUGUUUGUGUUUUUCUGAUUCUAAGUGCAGUUCUCUAUAGCCUCGGGCUUAAAGCCUCCUCAAAGUGGAAAAAAGGCAGCGUGAAUAAGUCAUUAAAGCAACAGCUGCCUGUAGAUGUGAGCAUACAGUUUAUGAAACGAAUAAAAUGUCAAUAAAGCGGCUGUCUUCAUUUAGAGAUUACUAUUGUUUCGUAGCAGCAAAAGAGCAGUUGAAAAGAAGACAAGUAAGAAAACGAAGAGUUUUGGUUAACUUGUCUUUACGGCCGUGGUGCGCUAGCGACCUUACAACAUCAUUCUUGGCGGAGCACAGCGGCAGUUCAAAAGAUGGUGUCGGUGCCUUUAAUAGCAGUACUUGCAGUACCCUUUCUCGCAUGGUUGCUCAGCGCAGAACGGGCACUGGAGUCCCCUGAGAUAAAGUACACGGACAAGAAGCAUCUUAGCGAAUACGGGAGCAUGGACGCGGAGCAUCUUGACGUGAAGAAGUUCUGCGAAAGUCAUCCGUGCAAGAAUAACUCCCAGUGUCCACAAGGUUGUCUAUGUCCAGGGCUUUUCUACCGUUUAAUCGUCAGUUCCAAAUGCUACUUUCAUGACAAGUUUUGACUGAGCAAGAAUGUGUUUCUCAGACUCUCGUGGAAGUAUGCGCUGCAUGUGCUCACUCCGACCACCAUGAAUGCCGGAGCUUCAAAAGUCUGCUGAACCUCAGAACAAUAAAAAGUAC